UGUGGUGUAUAUAUACACAAUGCAAUUCUACUUAUCCAUCAAAAGAAUGAUACUGUGCCAUUGGUAAGGAAAUGGAAAGACUUGAAAAAAAUUAUGUUAAGUGAAGUAAGCCAGACCCAGAGAAACGCAGGUUGCGUGGUUUCCCUACUGUGGUAGCUAGAAUGUGCCUGUACAUCUACUAGUAAACACAUUGGAUGGUUAAAAAAAUACACUGGGACCUGAUAAAUUACACAAGUCUCUAGGAACUCACCUACAGUGAAACCAAAGGAGGGUAUUCUAUAGGACAGAAACACAAGAGCACAC